UCCUGGCAGUGAACUCCAAAACAGCAGUUCGUGGUGGUGGCGAUAAUUCUGUGCCCCCAACCAGACCGUGUGCUGCUCAGUGACAGCAACCGUCUGCGGGUUUCGCGCUCCCGAGGACGCUGGAGCACACAGUUCUGCGUGGAAACUGCUCGGCCCUCUGUGGUUAGGAGCCAGUUGCUGGAGUGAAUUGAACUCUCGCUAGAAAGGUCUGGUGUCUCGGAUUUGGUCCUGCGUUGCCCACCCCUGCUGGAUCUUGUCCAGUCGAGGGACAAACGUCCUGAAGAAUGGGAAGACAGGAGGUUCUGAAGCACGGAUUUCAAUACCACGCCAGAGGCCGAGGAAACCGACGGGGGAAGGGAGUUGCUCACACGCCACCAGGAGCCCCGAGGAGAGCCGGAGCUGGAGGCACGUGGCCCGGGAAGGGGCGAACGACAGCAGUGACCGGGAGCCACCCGCAUCAGCCCGAGCAAUCCAUCCAGAACUGUGGAAGGAGGACAGCACAGUGGGGUCUCUCUCACUGUGGGGAGAAAGCAGCUGCAAGAGCUGGAACAGGAGCCAGAAGCCGAAGCAGCAGCACGCGUCCAAAAGCUUUCAGAGUAACGCUGAGAAAAUUGUCUGCUGAAUUGCGGCCAGUUCUGCCAACAGAUGCUGCAAGAAGAGACUUUCCCUCCCCCGUUAGAUUUCGUGCCUGGACGCCGUUCCUCACGGGACUUUGCCCGUCUCGUGUCCACCUUUGAAGCAGGCUGUUCCGGUCUCAGCUGUGGUCGUUCUAGUGAACCCUCUUCGGGAGAAAAUGCCAACUUUUUCUCCCUCUCAGUUCUGGAUUAAAUAAACUGUCUUACCUGAAACGGGAUCACUGUAGGCUAGAAGCACCAUGAGACAUUCCUGUUUCUCAGAAGUUGCCACGUGCACAUCACACCUGUUUCAUCAUGAAUGGGGGUCCACCUCUGAGGCCACCUGGUCAGCCUGUCUCCUGGCAGCUCCCUGGGGCCUUUGUCCCCUCCUCCUGCCCCAGCCCACGUGAGACUUGCACAGAGGUGACCGUUCCCUCCUGUCACUUUGACUGGAUGUGUGAGAGGAGGCGUGGUCUGGAGGAGCUGACAUCUCUGUGAGUUUGGGGGUGACAAGCACGGCUGUAGCCCUGGAGGAAGGUGGCGGGAAGCAGACCGGCCUCGUCUCAGUGCUCCAGCCCUCGUCACUCUCACUCCCCUCUUUGCAGUGUCUGUCUUACUCCAGGGUAGUUGUGCUUGGCUUUCUCCAAUUAAAAGUAACUUUGGUUGUUAUUUUUCCUUAUUGCGAAGCAGCACAUGCUUAUUACCAAAAAAUCAGAAAUAUAGACAAGUAAAAAGAAGAAAAAAACUACCCCAAGUCCUACUUGCCCCCAA